GUGUCAGCCGCCGCGGUAAUACGUAGGGGCCUAGCGUUGUCCGGAAUCAUUGGGCGUAAAGAGCGCGUAGGCGGCCCGGUAAGUCCGCUGUAAAAGUCAAAGGCUUAACCUUUGAAAGUCAGUGGAUACUGCCGGGCUAGAGUCCGGAAGAGGCGAGUGGAACUCCUGGUGUAGCGGUGGAAUGCGCAGAUAUCAGGAAGAACACCAACGGCGAAGGCAGCUCGCUGGGACGGAACUGACGCUGAGGCGCGAAAGCGUGGGGAGCGAACAGGAUUAGAUACCCCGGUAGUCC
rnacentral:rRNA from 1 species